GCCCUAAGACUGUUCAGUGUUCUCAACGUUCUUCCAUUUGGUUUCUGCCUCAGCUUUGCCAUAUUUAAUUCACAAUUCAGUGCCAUAUUCAUCAAUCGCCUUUUUUAGCCCCGUAACCGUCUGAAAUUGGCUUAUAAAACUAGUGGUCGGUUCAGAUUUAUGAUAAACUCUUUUCUCUUGUUCUUCCCCAAAAAACCUAGGGUUAGACUUGAGAGUGAAGAUGGCAUGAGCCCAAACGUCGGCAUACCAUCACCGGAAGGGCAUGUAUACGUUUUUAUUUUAGUCGUAAAUUCCCAAGAUCCUUCAAUUGAGUCUUUAUUAUGUCGAUCUGGUGUUAAUUUCAUGUUUUGCUAUUACCUGGUCUUUACUCGUGUUUGUAAUUGUACUGCUUGUUUGAUUUGUUACAAGGGUUUUGAAUAACCACCUUGAAAUUUCUUCUUUUCUCAAGAUCAAUAUCAAGAUCCUAGUGUCGGCUGUAGUUACAAAUGCUGAAUGUUGAUUGUGAUCGCUACAUAAACAACAGUAAAGCCCUGUAUUCCCACAACGGUCGUGUUCUUUAAUAUCAACAUGAAAGGGCUGGAUGGACCUGUUUAUGUGGGAACCAGCAUAUGAGGCAAAACCUGCAGCUGCUUGCAAAAAAUGCUGUUGUUUUGCAAAGGAGAAAACCCAAAUACAUGCACUCGAGGUAAUUACAACUUUUAGUGACCUUGUUAUUCUUGUUCAAACAUGAGUAUUUGUGACAAUAAUUGAUAGUGAGAACACAUCCUUAAUGCCUCAGAUAAAGUUUGAGAAGAAACAUAAAAUAAGAUGAAUAUGCUGCUUACUGGAUGUUGUUUAAUUUUUUCUUUCGUAAUUUGUUUUCGCUUAUUGUUGGGAUUUAAAUGGGUUUUAAUUGGCUUGAGGUUUUGCUAUGAUGAAGACAAAAAGCCUUUUUUGGUUUUUGUUGUCUUUUUUUUUUCCUCGCAAUUGUCCCUGUGAGGCUACGGUGAUGUGAUUACAGUUAAACAUGUCCAUUAGUUUAGAAACUUGAUAAAAAAUUGUGUGCCAACCCACUUGAUCCGACCCGUUUAGCCAAUUCUACUUCUUAAUAUACAGUUUCUUUCUGGGGUUGAAUUACAUGUUAUGUUGUUUGGCUGGUUAUUCAUGCAUGGUUAAGCUAUUUCCUAAUCAAAGGAGAUCUUCUUGAGGCUAAAGUUGUUUAAUGGUAGAAAGGUAAGCAUGGGCAAUGCUUUCUUUUGGUUCUCCUUUAAACCUCUUUUUACAGUAGCAUCUUGGUAUCAUGUGUAAAAUUAGACUGCACCGGAACAGGUUUAGGAUCAAAAUAGGUAGACUGUCCACGUACUGCUGUACGAAAACAUGGUGGAUGUGCCCUGUUCGGUUGACUCACACUCGCCUCCAGUUGCCCCAUAUUCAUCGUUAAUAACAUAGUCAUCUCAAUAAAAAAAAUCGAGAGAAUGACCGGGAUCUACUUAAUGGACAGAAAUUGAAAAUUUAAUUAUUCAGAAGAUUAAGCACUAGAAAACAAACACAAUAAGAAAAACUUAUACCUUCCCGUUUUUUUAUUUCACGUGACUUUCUUUUGCUGCACUACUGGAACCAACCCAAAACCUUCUCUUCAAGGAUUCAUACAUCAACUGUUUCAUGAUAGGCAACCUGACAAAUUAAGUCACUAAUAACGCUCAAAAUAUCGUAGCAGAUACAGGAAUCAAUACAAGCUUUGCAAAAAAAAAAAAAAAAAAAAAAAAACACAUUCAAAGCAAUAGGCACAAAUGCAUUAUGCAAUUCUCAACAUAUUAUUGGUUUUGAAACGAACUCCCCUUGUAUAUGUAUAUAUAAUAACCUCUUUAUGUGUUAUAAAUAAUGUUGGAGAUGUUGUCUUCAGCCCAGUCCAUUACGGCUAGCCAAGAAUUAGAGAGAAGGGAAAGGGUUCGACCGACCCUAACCCUAAUGGGCUUUAAGUGUUUUAGGCCUAGAUGUUUAGUUACUUGUUUAGCAAGGUACUAACCCUAAUUCUAGCUUAUAAAUAUAUCUCCUGUACUUAUAAUCAUUAUCACUCAAUAAAAUACAAACCCUAGUUGCCCUCGUGGACGUAGGUUACAUACUGUGACCGAACCACGUAAAUCUCGUGUCUACUUUUCUUAUUGCUUUCGUUUAUUGAUCUCGUGUGUGUGCUUUAACUCCUAACAACUGGUAUCAGAUCUUGGGCUCUUGAUCAAGAACACACACCAGCCGCCUACCACCUCCUGCCUCCGGCCGCCGCUGCAAACCCUAAUUAGGAUUUCGCCUCUGCCACCUAGCCGCCGCUAGGGUUUCCGUCGCCGACACCCACCGACCCGCUGCAGUUUCGUAGCUUUGCUCCAGGGCAACCGAGUACCGCCGCCGCCACCUAACCCAGAUUAGGGUUUUGCUAGCCGUCGCCUACCAUCUUGCCGGAACCGCAGAUGCGCCGCCGCCGCCGCUCAAACAGAAGGAUUUUCGAUUUUCGCUGCUGCGGUUUUCGGGUUUUUCUGCACGUUUUUUGAGGUCAAAUUUCAGGGUUGUUUUUUCAGUUUAUUCUCUCACGUUCUCUGGUUAGUUUCUGUUAUUCAGCAAAGAUGAUGUCUAAUGAUGGAAAAGUCAGAAUUGAGAAGUUUGAUGGGAAGAAUUUCUGAUGGUGGAAGAUGUAGCCUUAGGAUUUGCUAAUACAUAAGGAUCUGGAUGUAGCCUUAGAGCCUCCUCCUGCACCUGAAAGGAUAACUGGACAUCCAUUGACAAGAAGACUAUGUCAACUAUCAGGCUCACUCUUUCUAUAAUGUUGGCUACAAUAUUUUUGAACAAACCUCAGCACGAGGAAUCAUAAAGGCUUUGUCAAAUAUGUAUGAGAAGCCGUCUACUACCAACAAGGUGUUUCUGAUACAGGAGUUAGUCAACACCCGCAUGAAAGAGGGAAGUUCUGUUUAUUGAGCAUAUUAAUUUGUUUAAUUCUCACUUGUCUCGUUUGAAUUCAGUAAAAUUCAAGAUAGAUGAUGAACAACAAGCACGCCUACUUUUGUCCUCAUUACCGAUAGCUAGUCAGUUCUGCAUAUCAAGUCCAUCCACGAGAACAAAGCGGAACACAAUAAGGUUCUUACCUUAGUGAAGUUUUGUUGUGAGAAAAAUGACAAGAUACGGAAUAUACGAGGUGGAUUUGAAGAUGCACUUAUUCUUGUUGUGAAGAAUGAAAUUCCUAAGGUUAUAGAGCAAAUCACCUGAUUUUGUCCACAAUCGAUCCAGAAAUUAAGGGACGAUACUUAUACACUCUACCAACUUUCAAUAAUUAACUGAUGUGAAAAAUCUUACAACUUUUUGGGGUAAGAGCAUCAUGAAGAUUCUUUCUUGGAAGACAAGGAUAAAAACCUUUUGUACUUAGCUACAAAAUUGGUACAUGAAGACAAACUCAAUAAGGUUACUAGUGCAGCAUUAUAAAUGCAAAGGGAGCUACAGUGGUUUAAGGUGAAAAUGUUGUUAUUUACAUUUAAAGAAUUGAAAUUAGUUUGAAUUCACUUGUAAUAUAUAUUCUAAUUAUAGGAAAUAAGUAAAAUAUUGCCACC